rnacentral:misc_RNA from 1 species
GCAAACUUGGUCAUUUAGAGGAAGUAAAAGUCGUAACAAGGUUUCCGUAGGUGAACCUGCGGAAGGAUCAUUAACGAAUAACUAUGGUGUCUUGGUUGUAGCUGGCUCCUCGGAGCAUUGUGCACGCCCGCCAUUUUUAUCUUUCCACCUGUGCACCGACUGUAGGUGUCUGGAUAACCCUCGUCUUCCUCUCUUGGAAGGCGGAUGCGAGGAUUGCCCGUGAGGGCUCUCCUCGAAUUUCCAGGCUCCUACGUCUUUUACACACCCCCAACAGUAUGAUAUAGAAUGAUAGUCAAUGGGCUUUGACAGCCUAUAUAACACUAUACAACUUUCAGCAACGGAUCUCUUGGCUCUCGCAUCGAUGAAGAACGCAGC